rnacentral:rRNA from 1 species
AGCUAAUAGAUACCCGGGUAGUCCCAGCAGUAAACGGUGCGCGUUUGGUGUGAGCAGAUUCGACUCUGUUCGCGCCGGAGCUAACGCGUUAAACGCGCCGCCUGGGAAGUACGAUCGCAAGAUUAAAACUCAAAGAAAUUGACGGGGGCCCGCACAAGCGGUGGAGUAUGUGGCUUAAUUCGAUGCAACGCGAAGAACCUUACCUGGGUUUGACAUGCAUCUCUAAGGAGGUGAAAGCUUCCGAGGGUAGCAAUACCCGAUUUGCACAGGUGCUGCAUGGCUGUCGUCAGCUCGUGUCGUGAGAUGUUGGGUUUAAGUCCCGCAACGAGCGCAACCCUUGUAUGCUGUUGCUAUGCUUACGCAUAGCUCUCUGCGUAGACUGCCCCGUGAAACGGGGAGGAAGGUGGGGAUGACGUCAAGUCAGCAUGGCCCUUACACCCAGGGGCUGCACACGUACUACAAUGCUCAGUACAAUUAGAACCUGCCCCGCGAGGGUUGGGAAA